AAACAUACACAAAGAGCAAACCCUGGAGGCUAACCAAAAGAAUUCAGAGCAACCCUAAAGGAAACCCUGAAGGAAACUCAUCUGCACAAAGGUUACCUCCGCCCAACUCAAUCCAGUACAAACCCUAAGAGUGAUCUGUCAAUUUACCGGUGCAAUUCAAUUGCAAAUAGGUUUGCACAUCACUACCGUUUUAUGCUUCCAAUUUGUAAUCUCUAAAUACAUGAUGCAUUAUGAUUGAAUUUUUG
rnacentral:lncRNA from 1 species